rnacentral:lncRNA from 10 species
GGCAGGUGGGAAGCCCAGAAGUGACAUUGCGAGAGCACACAUGAGUGCGUCUAACUCCACUGAAUGAGCUUGGUAUGGCACCACCAAGCGGUAGCAAAGAUGGUGGUGGGAAAGGAACCUGGAGAGGUGAGCAGGGCAAAUUUGACAGUGCCUAUCUCCGUCCUGGAACUGACUCUCUGCGGAGCUCUGAACAAUGGCAAAGGCGUGCACCCCUCUUCUCCCCAGCAGGCUGCUCACAGCUAUGCCUAGAAUAGAGCACAUGGUCUGUUCAGCAAAGGAGUGAACUGUUCAAAGGAUAUUUUAAUGAUAAAGGAGGAAAUAUUCUUCUGUAUGAAAAUAUUGUAGAAAAAAAGUGGGUCACUUCAACCUGGCAAAAUAUGA